CUUGAACGCUGGCGGCAGGCCUAACCCAUGCCAGUCGAGCGAGCGGCGGACGGGUGAGUAAUGUCUGGGAAACUGCCUGAUGGAAGGGGAUAACUACUGGAAACGGUAGCUAAUACCGCAUACCAUCAGAUGUGCCCAUAUGGUCUUAGCUAGUAGGUGGGGUAAUGGCUCACCUAGGCAACGCUCACUAGCUGGUCUUUGAGGAUUACCAGCAACACUGGAACUGGUACACGGUCCAGACUCCUACGGUAGGCAGCAGUGGGGAAUAUUGCACAAUGGGCGCAAGCCUGAUGCAGCCAUGCCGCGUGUAUGAAUAAGGCCUUCGGGUUGUAAAGUACUUUCAGCGAGGAGGCGUUACUCUCAGAAGAAGCACCGGCUAACUCCGUGCCAGCAGCCGCGGUAAUUC
rnacentral:rRNA from 1 species